AUUUACUACAAAAAAAAAUUCUUCUAUAAAAAUUAAUAUUUAUUUAUUUAAAAACUGAAAAGGAACAAGUUAUUUUUUAAAAGAAAAAUCAUGUUCCUUUAGUAUCAGGAUUUAUCUAAUUCUUAGAAAAAUCUUCUACUCCCGAAAUCAUAUGACCUAUUAAUUUUAUUAAUUUUUAUUACAAAAAAUUAAUAAAACUAUUAAUAGAAAUUAAACAUUUAUCGUAUAUACUAUAUCUGGUUUAAAAAAAAGAAAACAAUUUCAAACAAAAUUCUGUAAAAUAAAUUACAAAAUUAAUUUAUCAUAUUAUUUUCUAAAAACAAAACUUAUAGUGUUUAAAAAGUUUAAUAACUAAACAUUUAUAAAAUCAAAAACUAUAUUAUUUUUAAAAACUCCACAAUAAACUAUAAUGAUAAAAUAAGUAAACUAUCAAUUUUUUUUUUUUGAACUCAUCUAAAAUUGAGUGACUGUUUAACAAAAACAUUUUUAUUAGAAAAAUUAAUAAUAAAGUCUGCUCAAUGAUAAUUAAAUAGCCGCUUUUGUGCUAAGGUAGCAUAAUAAUUUGUCUUUUAAUUAAAGACUAGAACAAAAGACUUAACAUCUCAAUUAAUUUAAUAAAAAAAAAUAUUUAAAUUAUCCUAAUUGUAAAAAGACAAUUUUUAAAAAGAAAGACGAUAAGACCCUAUCGAACUUUACUUCAGUUAAACUGGGGAAGUUAAUUAAUUAUUACUUUAAUAAAAUUAAAUAUUCAACUUGACCUAAUAUAAUUAACAAAAUAAUCAAGUUACCGUAGGGAUAACAGCGUAAUAAAAUUUUUAAGAUCUUAUUUAAAAUAAAGAUUGCGACCUCGAUGUUGAUUUAAUUUCCUAAUUUAAUUUAACGCAGUAGUUAAUAAAGGAAGUCUGUUCGACUUUUAAAAAAUUACAUGAUUUGAGUUCAGACCGGUGUAAACCAGGUCGGUUUCUAUCUUCUUUUAAAUUUCUUCUAGUACGAAAGGACCUAAGAAAAUAAUAAUAUU
rnacentral:rRNA from 1 species